rnacentral:rRNA from 1 species
UUAAGCGACUAAGCGUACACGGUGGAUGCCCUGGCAGUCAGAGGCGAUGAAGGACGUGCUAAUCUGCGAAAAGCGUCGGUAAGGUGAUAUGAACCGUUACAGCCGGCGAUGUCCGAAUGGGGAAACCCAGUGUGAUUCGUCACACUAUCGUUAACUGAAUACAUAGGUUAACGAGGCGAACCGGGGGAACUGAAACAUCUAAGUACCCCGAGGAAAAGAAAUCAACCGAGAUUCCCCCAGUAGCGGCGAGCGAACGGGGAGCAGCCCAGAGUCUGAAUCAGCUUGUGUGUUAGUGGAACGGUCUGGAAAGUCCGACGGUACAGGGUGAUAGUCCCGUACACCAAAAUGCACAGGUUGUGAACUCGAAGAGUAGGGCGGGACACGUGGUAUCCUGUCUGAAUAUGGGGGGACCAUCCUCCAAGGCUAAAUACUCCUGACUGACCGAUAGUGAACCAGUACCGUGAGGGAAAGGCGAAAAGAACCCCGGCGAGGGGAGUGAAAAAGAACCUGAAACCGUGUACGUACAAGCAGUGGGAGCACCUUCGGGUGUGACUGCGUACCUUUUGUAUAAUGGGUCAGCGACUUAUAUUCUGUAGCAAGGUUAACCGUAUAGGGGAGCCGCAGGGAAACCGAGUCUUAACUGGGCGUUAAGUUGCAGGGUAUAGACCCGAAACCCGGUGAUCUAGCCAUGGGCAGGUUGAAGGUUGGGUAACACUAACUGGAGGACCGAACCGACUAAUGUUGAAAAAUUAGCGGAUGACUUGUGGCUGGGGGUGAAAGGCCAAUCAAACCGGGAGAUAGCUGGUUCUCCCCGAAAGCUAUUUAGGUAGCGCCUCGUGAAUUCAUCUUCGGGGGUAGAGCACUGUUUCGGCUAGGGGGUCAUCCCGACUUACCAACCCGAUGCAAACUACGAAUACCGAAGAAUGUUAUCACGGGAGACACACGGCGGGUGCUAACGUCCGUCGUGAAGAGGGAAACAACCCAGACCGCCAGCUAAGGUCCCAAAGUCAUGGUUAAGUGGGAAACGAUGUGGGAAGGCACAGACAGCCAGGAUGUUGGCUUAGAAGCAGCCAUCAUUUAAAGAAAGCGUAAUAGCUCACUGGUCGAGUCGGCCUGCGCGGAAGAUGUAACGGGGCUAAACCAUGCACCGAAGCUGCGGCAGCGACACUAUGUGUUGUUGGGUAGGGGAGCGUUCUGUAAGCCUGCGAAGGUGACCUGUGAGGGUUGCUGGAGGUAUCAGAAGUGCGAAUGCUGACAUAAGUAACGAUAAAGCGGGUGAAAAGCCCGCUCGCCGGAAGACCAAGGGUUCCUGUCCAACGUUAAUCGGGGCAGGGUGAGUCGACCCCUAAGGCGAGGCCGAAAGGCGUAGUCGAUGGGAAACAGGUUAAUAUUCCUGUACUUGGUGUUACUGCGAAGGGGGGACGGAGAAGGCUAUGUUAGCCGGGCGACGGUUGUCCCGGUUUAAGCAUGUAGGCUGGUUAUCCAGGCAAAUCCGGAUAAUCAAGGCUGAGGUGUGAUGACGAGGCACUACGGUGCUGAAGUAACAAAUGCCCUGCUUCCAGGAAAAGCCUCUAAGCAUCAGGUAACAUCAAAUCGUACCCCAAACCGACACAGGUGGUCAGGUAGAGAAUACCAAGGCGCUUGAGAGAACUCGGGUGAAGGAACUAGGCAAAAUGGUGCCGUAACUUCGGGAGAAGGCACGCUGGUGUGUAGGUGAAGUCCCUGCGGAUGGAGCUGAGACCAGUCGAAGAUACCAGCUGGCUGCAACUGUUUAUUAAAAACACAGCACUGUGCAAACACGAAAGUGGACGUAUACGGUGUGACGCCUGCCCGGUGCCGGAAGGUUAAUUGAUGGGGUUAUCCGUAAGGAGAAGCUCUUGAUCGAAGCCCCGGUAAACGGCGGCCGUAACUAUAACGGUCCUAAGGUAGCGAAAUUCCUUGUCGGGUAAGUUCCGACCUGCACGAAUGGCGUAAUGAUGGCCAGGCUGUCUCCACCCGAGACUCAGUGAAAUUGAACUCGCUGUGAAGAUGCAGUGUACCCGCGGCAAGACGGAAAGACCCCGUGAACCUUUACUAUAGCUUGACACUGAACAUUGAGCCUUGAUGUGUAGGAUAGGUGGGAGGCUUUGAAGCGUGGACGCCAGUCUGCGUGGAGCCAACCUUGAAAUACCACCCUUUAAUGUUUGAUGUUCUAACGUUGGCCCCUUACCGGGGUUGCGGACAGUGUCUGGUGGGUAGUUUGACUGGGGCGGUCUCCUCCCAAAGCGUAACGGAGGAGCACGAAGGUUAGCUAAUCCUGGUCGGACAUCAGGAGGUUAGUGCAAUGGCAUAAGCUAGCUUGACUGCGAGCGUGACGGCGCGAGCAGGUGCGAAAGCAGGUCAUAGUGAUCCGGUGGUUCUGAAUGGAAGGGCCAUCGCUCAACGGAUAAAAGGUACUCCGGGGAUAACAGGCUGAUACCGCCCAAGAGUUCAUAUCGACGGCGGUGUUUGGCACCUCGAUGUCGGCUCAUCACAUCCUGGGGCUGAAGUAGGUCCCAAGGGUAUGGCUGUUCGCCAUUUAAAGUGGUACGCGAGCUGGGUUUAGAACGUCGUGAGACAGUUCGGUCCCUAUCUGCCGUGGGCGCUGGAGAAUUGAGGGGGGCUGCUCCUAGUACGAGAGGACCGGAGUGGACGCAUCACUGGUGUUCGGGUUGUCAUGCCAAUGGCACUGCCCGGUAGCUAAAUGCGGAAGAGAUAAGUGCUGAAAGCAUCUAAGCACGAAACUUGCCCCGAGAUGAGUUCUCCCUGAGACUUUAAGUCUCCUGAAGGAACGUUAAAGACGAUGACGUUGAUAGGCCGGGUGUGUAAGCGCAGCGAUGCGUUGAGCUAACCGGUACUAAUGAACCGUGAGGCUUAACCUU